UAGUACUACGGGGGGCAGCAGUGGGGAAUAUUGGGCAAUGGGCGCAAGCCUGACCCAGCAACGCCGCGUGAAGGAAGAAGGCUUUCGGGUUGUAAACUUCUUUUCUGAGGGACGAUAGUGACGGUACAUCAGGAAUAAGCCACGGCUAACUACGUGCCAGCAGCCGCGGUAAUACGUAGGUGGCAAGCGUUAUCCGGAUUUACUGGGUGUAAAGGGCGUGUAGGCGGGAUGGUAAGUUAGAUGUGAAAACUAUGGGCUCAACACAUAGCCUGCAUUUGAAACUAUCGCUAUUGAGUGUUGGAGAG
rnacentral:rRNA from 1 species